AGCCAAACAAGUAUUAAAGGCGACGCCUGCCCAGUGAACAAUUAAACGGCCGCGGUACCCUAACCGUGCAAAGGUAGCAUAAUCAUUUGUCUACUAAUUAUAGACCUGUAUGAAAGGCAAAAUGAGGGUCUAGCUGUCUCUUAUAAUUAAUCAAUUAAACUGAUCUCCCAGUUAAAAAGCUGGGAUACAAACAUAAGACCAGAAGACCCUGUGAAGCUUAAACUUAACCAUUAAAUCAAAUAAUGAUAACUUUCGGUUGGGGCGACCUUGGAAAAAAAAAGAACUUCCAAUAUAGUGAUUAUAAUCCACUAACCACUUAGGCCUACAAGCCAACAAAGACCCAGCACAGCUGAUAAAAGAACCAAGUUACUCCAGGGAUAACAGCGCAAUCUUCUUCAAGAGCCCAUAUCAAAAAGAAGGUUUACGACCUCGAUGUUGGAUCAGGACACCCCGAUGGUGUAGCCGCUAUCAAAGGUUCGUUUGUUCAACGAUUAAUAGUCCU
rnacentral:rRNA from 1 species